UACGUAGGGUGCAAGCGUUAUCCGGAUUCAUUGGGUUUAAAGGGAGCGUAGGUGGCCUUAUAAGUCAGUGGUGAAAUCUCUCAGCUUAACUGAGAAAUUGCCAUUGAUACUGUAGGGCUUGAGUACAGAUGCCGUUGGCGGAAUAUGACAUGUAGUGGUGAAAUACAUAGAGAUGUCAUAGAACACCGAUUGCGAAGGCAGCUGACGAAACUGUAACUGACACUGAGGCUCGAAAGUGCGGGGAUCAAACAGG
rnacentral:rRNA from 1 species